rnacentral:rRNA from 1 species
CAAAGGAAUUGACGGGGCCCGCACAAGCAGUGGAGUAUGUGGUUUAAUUCGAAGCAACGCGAAGAACCUUACCAGGGCUUGACACCCCUGACCGCGUAUGAAAGUACGUUUUCACCCUCGGGUGACAGGGAGACAGGUGGUGCAUGGUUGUCGUCAGGCUCGUGUCGUGAGAUGUUGGGUUAAGUCCCGCAACGAGCGCAACCCCUACGUUUAGUUGCUAACGCGUGAAGGCGAGCACUCUAGACGAACUGCCGUUGACAAAACGGAGGAAGGUGGGAUGACGUCAAAUCAUCAUGCCCCUUAUGUUCUGGGCUACACACGUGCUACAAUGGCCGGUACAGACGGACGCAAAGCCGCGAGGUGGAGCAAAUCCUAAAAAGCCGGUCUCAGUUCGGAUUGCAGGCUGCAAUUCGCCUGCAUGAAGUCGGAAUCGCUAGUAAUCGCAGGUCAGCAUACUGCGGUGAAUACGUUCCCGGGCCUU